rnacentral:rRNA from 1 species
CAGCCGCCACGGGAAUACGAAGGGGGCUAGCGUUGCUCGGAAUGACUGGGCGUAAAGGGCGCGUAGGCGGUUUGUACAGUUGGAUGUGAAAUUCCUGGGCUUAACCUGGGGGCUGCAUUCAAUACGUGCAGGCUUGAGUGUGGAAGAGGGUUGUGGAAUUCCCAGUGUAGAGGUGAAAUUCGUAGAUAUUGGGAAGAACACCGGUGGCGAAGGCGGCAACCUGGUCCAUUACUGACGCUGAGGCGCGAAAGCGUGGGGAGCAAACAGGAUUAGAUACCCCAGUAGUCCCUGUCUCUUAUAC